UACAGAGGGGGCAAGCGUUGUUCGGAAUUACUGGGCGUAAAGGGCGCGUAGGCGGCCUGUUAAGUCGAAUGUGAAAUCCCCGGGCUCAACCCGGGAACUGCGUCCGAUACUGGCAGGCUUGAAUCCAGGAGAGGGAUGUGGAAUUCCAGGUGUAGCGGUGAAAUGCGUAGAUAUCUGGAGGAACACCGGUGGCGAAGGCGGCAUCCUGGACCGACACUGACGCUGAGGAGCGAAAGCCAGGGGAGCAAACGGG
rnacentral:rRNA from 1 species